GGAGGGUGCAAGCGUUAAUCGGAAUUACUGGGCGUAAAGCGAGCGCAGGCGGCUCUGUGUGUCGGAUGUGAAAGCCCCGGGCUCAACCUGGGAAUUGCAUUCGAAACUGCAGGGCUAGAAUAUGGUAGAGGAAGACGGAACUCCACGUGUAGCGGUGAAGUGCGUAGAUAUGUGGAAGAACACCGAUGGCGAAGGCAGUCUUCUGGGCCAAUAUUGACGCUCAGGCUCGAAAGCGUGGGUAGCAAACAGGAUUAGAUACCCUGGUAGUCCACGCCGUAAACGAUGAGAACUAGACGUUGGGCGACAUAGUCGCUCAGUGUCGCAGUUAACGCGUUAAGUUCUCCGCCUGGGGAGUACGACCGCAAGGUUG
rnacentral:rRNA from 1 species